rnacentral:tRNA from 1 species
GGUGAGGUGGCCGAGAGGCUAAAGGCGCUCCCCUGCUAAGGGAGUAUAUGGCUUAUAACCGUAUCGAGGGUUCGAAUCCCUCCCUCACCGCCA